UACGGGGGGGGCAAGCGUUGUUCGGAAUUACUGGGCGUAAAGGGCUCGUAGGCGGCCAACUAAGUCGGAUGUGAAAGCCCCGGGCUCAACCUGGGAACUGCGUUUGGUACUGGCAAGCUAGAGUACGGCAGAGGGGGGUGGAAUUCCACGUGUAGCAGUGAAAUGCGUAGAGAUGUGGAGGAACACCGAUGGCGAAGGCAGCCCCCUGGGCCGAUACUGACGCUCAGGCACGAAAGCGUGGGGAGCAAACAGG
rnacentral:rRNA from 1 species